UUUCAAAAAGAAGAAUAAUGUCUAAAAAAGGAAGUUCAGAAAUUUUGCAUUAACUUGGACAAAAAUUUGGAACUUGAGAGAUGUGUUCUGUUCUCUAGAGGUUCCCCCACAAUGCAUUUUGGUCUGCACAGAGACAAUAUUUCUGGCAAUAUUCCAUGACAUUCGUGUGCCUAAUUGAGCCCACCCUCAAUUUCCUCUCAUGAUAAACUUUUUUAAAGGAAAGGAAAUUUCUUCAAGAGGAGUUCUCCAUUCCAAUAAAAUCAUAGGUCUGGACAACAAAACCCCAAAUGUGGCAACAAAAGCUCUCACAUAACACAAAAGGCCCCAAAUUAUGUAUGUGUAUGUAUGUGUAUACUUCCAGACUCCAUCAAAUUAUUGACACAACCUCUCCAUGUGGAAGAUGUUCAAGAUCUUACUUUUGGGAAAAUUAUAAUGACAGAUACCUUUGCCAGUCUGCUGAAGCUCAUGGAUCCCUUCUCAGAAUAAACUUUUUAAAUAUAUAAAUAAGAUACAUUGGAUUAUAAAAUAAACUCAUUAUAUUGAAAUACA
rnacentral:lncRNA from 1 species